UCCACGAAUGCCUUCGAUAUAGCGUGACCCCCAUCUUAAAGGCUGUGUCCCAGAUAUGAAAUAUUAAUCAGGCGACGAAGAGGGCUUGAGAUUUAGAGCAGAGAGAAGAUGGGGUCAGAAAUGUCAACUGAUUCACAUGAUUCUGAUGAUGCACGUAAGAAGAAGAAGCAGGAAGGUAAUUAUCUGUGCUAAUAAAUUACAGAAAUCUUCAUUAUCGGUUCAAAGUCUUCCAGGUAGCACACGAGAGCCGAGAUUGUACACAGUCCAUACGGAUUAAUUUUUUUCAGUUUUGUUUUAUUUUCACUAAUGGAAUAAAAGAGGAAAGGUAACCAUCCUGGCAAUGGAUCAUACAAAUCCUCAUAAGCACACAGCCUUAUAAGCUUUGGACUAAAAGAGAAACAAAGUACGGAUGCAUGGAUUUAUCUAGAAAGAUAACGUAGUUACCGUUUUUCUAUGUGUAAAAGUCUUAAUGCAUAGCUCUAUUUUGA